rnacentral:rRNA from 1 species
UACGGAGGAUGCAAGCGUUAUCCGGAAUGAUUGGGCGUAAAGGGUCCGCAGGUGGCUGUGUAAGUCUGCUGUUAAAGAAUCUAGCUCAACUAGAUAAAAGCAUUGGAAACUACAUAGCUAGAGUGCGUUCGGGGUAGAGGGAAUUCCUGGUGUAGCGGUGAAAUGCGUAGAUAUCAGGAAGAACACCAGUGGCGAAGGCGCUCUACUAGGCCGCAACUGACACUGAGGGACGAAAGCUAGGGGAGCGAAUGGGAUUAGAUACCCCAGUAGUCCUAGCCGUAAACGAUGGAUACUAGGCGUGGCUUGUAUCGACCCGAGCCGUGCCGUAGCUAACGCGUUAAGUAUCCCGCCUGGGGAGUACGCACGCAAGUGUGAA